rnacentral:lncRNA from 12 species
CUUCCAGAGACCAGAAAGUCGGAGACCGAAGGUACGACGUUAACGCAGCGCCCAGAAGGGGGCAGUGGCCAGAAGCACACUCCGGGCUCCGGGAACCGCCCGGCGCCUGCAGGACUCCGCGCGGUUCCCGGGCGGGCUCGGGGCCGGGACAAAGGUCCGGCGGCACUCAGCGGACCCCGCGGACCCCCGGGCCUGGAGGCGGGGGUCCAGGGCCCCUCGUUUUACUCCAAAUCCCUGUUGCUCGGAAUCCAAAACCCCGACUGGGGGCAGGGGAAGUCUGUCCGAAGGUAUAAAAAACAAAACAUAGAAGAGCCCAGACCUCGGGGUGAAGGGGUGGCCCUCCCCCAACCCCACCCGCUGGUGACUCACCUCCCUCCAAACCAGGGCCUGCCCCUCCCGCGCCCGGUGCCAGGCGAGCAGGGUGGGGCGGGCAGCAAGGUGGGCUCCAUCCCCGAGCCCCGGGCGGCCGGACAAGCUCCGGCGUGUCCCCGCGGGUGUCCCUGUUUACCCGGAGCCCGGGCGGGGGGGGGGGGGGNNNNNNNNNNNNNNNNNNNNNNNNNNCCCUCCCCCAGCCCUCCCCCGAGGGCCCCGAUCCAGGUCUCGCUUUUCCAGGCUCCGGACCAAACCUCAGCCUUUCCCCGCGUGUCGCUCGCGGACUGGCGACCCCCGCCCCCACUCCGGGCGGCAGAGGCGCAGCCAGGGCCCCCGAGGCGAUCGGGCCGCGGCCCGGCCCCCGGCCCCCGGCCCCCGGCCCCCCAGACGGAGCCCGAGCUCCCCGGGCAUGACGCCGAGUUUCCAAGAGAAGCCCCCAGCGCCCGCCCGCCCGCCCGCCCGCCGGCAGCCACGGGCCUGCCGCUCUGCGAGGCCGGGGACGAGGCCCGGGCGGGGCGAGCGCGCGGCGGCCCCACGGCGGCCCCACGGCGGCCCCACGGCGGCCGGGGCCCCGCACCUCCACUCGCGGCCCUGAGCUCCCCCUCCCCGGGGCAGCGCGCCAGAGCGGCGCAUGCGCACUCCCGGGCCUGCCGCGUAGCUGGCUCUCCCCCCCCUUUCCCAGCCCCUUCUCUCCCUCCCUCCUCCCGAGUCCCCUCCCUCUCCCCCCUCACCCCCCCACCCCGUCGCGGCACCUCAGUCCGGGAACAGUGGAGCGAGCUCCAGGCCCGUGCACUGAGGAGGCGGAAACCGGGGGAGCCCCCCGAGCUCCAUCAGGCCCCCUCCGAAGGCUCCCCCACCCGGUCCACGCCCCCCACCCCCUACCCCGCCUCCUCCCAAUUGUGCAUUUUUGCAGCCGGAGGCGGCUCGGAGAUGGGGCUGUGA